AACGGAACGAUUGUAAUAUCAUGGGGAACUCCGUUCCCAUGACAAAAGGAAUUUAAAAUCAACGUAGGAUGAUCCCAUUAAUAUACUUUGAAUUUGCGUUUUCUCAUUUGCCCUAAAUCUAGAUCUUUCCUCUGUAAUGAUGUCUGAUCGAUGUAAUAUUUCUGUCUCCUUUUAAAUACGAUGCAUUGCAUUUUAAUGGACCUGAUUUCCCGUCAUUUUUUUCCGUAGGCGCUGAUGAACCGUCGGUUGCAAAUCAUGUAAAUCGGGAGCUCCUGAAAUGGUUGGUAGUUGAUAUACCAGGCUGCGACCUGCAUCAAGGCGUGGAACUUGUAAAAUAUGCUCCUGUGGAAAUGAUACAAAAAAACUGGUCUUCAUAGGUACGUUUUUACUGUGUACGAACAGCCGAAAGAAAGACCAAAUUGGAAUGAAACAUUAAUUCAUGAUAAUAAAGACAAACGCAGGGUCAAGUUCUCGAACAGGAAAUUUGCGAUGAAGUAUAAUCUCGGUGAUCUUUAUGCGGCUAAUUACUUCCAUUCGGAACCUGAACCCCCAAGCCGGAAAGGCCCAGGGCCCGAAAUUUACGAGAAGAAUUAUCGAUUGAAUGCCACUAAGACGGGUCUUAAAGGAAAUCCAUGAACAAAUUAUUGAGAACUUUGGCUGUGAUUUGCGGAACAUUUCAAGAAUGCCAUGACGCAAAAAUUGUUCUAGAAAAUUUAUAACCCCCCCCCCCCAAAUAAUCAAAGAAAGAAAGAAAUAACAGUCGAACUUUCAAGUUUGUUUUCUCAAGUGGAUGAAUAAGAUUAAAUUGUUUCGUUUUGGAUUUAUCGCAGAGUCAGGAUCUGGCGGUUAGGCCAGAUAUUUUUGAUGAUGCCCGCAUUUUGGACUCUUUUUAUGUAAAAGGCGAUCGAAAGUAUUGAUGCUUUGAGAAAAAUUGACAAACUUCAAAUUUCUUUAUUUUCGACAAAACUUAGACUCAAAUUCAAUCCGCACAUUUUUACACAUAACAUUA